UGGGGAAUAUUGCACAAUGGGGGAAACCCUGAUGCAGCGACGCCGCGUGAGUGAAGAAGUAUUUCGGUAUGUAAAGCUCUAUCAGCAGGGAAGAAGCAAGACGGUACCUGACUAAGAAGCCCCGGCUAACUACGUGCCAGCAGCCGCGGUAAUACGUAGGGGGCAAGCGUUAUCCGGAUUUACUGGGUGUAAAGGGAGCGUAGACGGCGAUGCAAGUCUGAAGUGAAAGGCGGGGGCCCAACCCCCGGACUGCUUUGGAAACUGUAUGGCUGGAGUGCAGGAGAGGUAAGUGGAAUUCCUAGUGUAGCGGUGAAAUGCGUAGAUAUUAGGAGGAACACCAGUGGCGAAGGCGGCUUACUGGACUGUAACUGACGUUGAGGCUCGAAAGCGUGGGGAGCAAACAGG
rnacentral:rRNA from 1 species